ACGUUAAAACUUUAGAAUCAGGUGGGAGGUGGUGGUAGUCACAGAACAAAUGGUCAAAACAAAGAUCUUACAAGGUUAGAAGCAUAGGACUUUAUGUUAGGCCAUAUUCACCCCAAUCCUGGGCAUGUGUAGUUUGCUAUUUGGUUUUCCUGGCAAGCCUGAGAAGGUGGUGGUUAUACAUAUACAGUUCCGAGUCUCCAGGUCACACCUAUACCUCUAAGAGCAGAGGAUCUGAAGAGUUGGCCAUGUGUGGAAAAGCCACAGAUCUUUCUACUUAGUAUCACAAGACUUGAAUGACAUUCUGCAAUUUAAAUUUCUGUCCCAUGUUGUUACGGGAGAUUGAUAUCGAACACAUGUCCAAGAUAUUUUUAUUUUUGGUGGAAUAAUUGUGAUGGUGUGAGGUGGCCAUUCUUCAAAACUAUUAAUGUUAUUCAUCCUGGCACCAUGUGUGAGUGAAAUCCUGAUUUAUUCACUAAAGACUGGGAGAGCUUUCUCUAGCAUCCUGGUUACUGCUGAUCGACUCACCAAGGGACAGUGCUGAGCACAAGAAAUCUGGAGAGCUGUUUAUUUCCCCAUCCCAGUGAACUGGUAACUCAAGUUGGAAACUGUGUCUCAUUCACAAUUACAGAUGACUUAAUAAUAACAACACGUAAAUCCCUAGAAAUAAGACUUCGAAGGAGGAUCAUCACUAUUAUUUACUCUACGCCUGCCCAAGACCUCCCUCAGUUCCUUGUCUGCAGGCCUAAACAUCUGAGCAGAGAAAAUAAAAGCAAAGAGUUCCCUAAAAUGCCACCAUACAGAAGGUUCAGAGAGGCCCCUGCAAUCAAGCACAUCCCUGGCACCUCUUCAGUGGAAGCUCCUCUGACACCCAUCAAGUUGGUCGUCAUUAAUGCCUUAUUCCCAUCUUCAUUGGCUCCCUGGCUGCACCCUUUGGCUUUAAACUCUCCUAAAGAUGGCUGUCCUGUUAUGAAGGCUGCUUGCUAACUGUUUAAAGUCUGCUCGGAUCUUCUAUUAUGGGCAUUCUGUCUUGUCAGCUCAUCUGACGUCAACCAGCAUGAACCACGUUAAUAGCUUGCAUUGCCUCUUGAUCACAUAAGCCCCUCGAACUUUUAUCUGUAUAUUGUCCUAGAGAACAUGAGGCACGGAUCCUCUCUUUUCUUUAUCUCCGUGCACAGUUUCCUGAUAGAGAGAAGCAGAGAGCUCAGUGGGUACAGCUCUGGGGAUGUAGCUGAAUUGUUGAUUUGGAUGAAACUUGAAC
rnacentral:lncRNA from 1 species